rnacentral:lncRNA from 1 species
AGGCUAAGGCAGGAGGAUCAUUUGAGUCCUAGAGUUCCAGACCAGCCUGGGCAACAUGGUGAAACCCUGUCUCUACAAAAAUUUAAAAAAAAAAAACUAGCUGGGUAUGGUGGCCUGUGACUGUAGCCCCAGCUACUCAGGAGCGGAGUGAGACUCUGUCUCAAAAAAACAGAAGUGAUUAGGACGCAGGCACACACAGACAGGGAUGAGCAUAUAAGGGCCCAGGGAGAAGAUGGAGUCUACCAGCCAAGGAGAGAGACUCAAGAGGAACCAACCUUGCCGUCACCUUGAUCUCUGCACAAAGUACAAGAAGGUAUUAGUUGUCCACAGACAAGAGAGCACCAUUAUCUGCCCAGAUUCUCAGGGAUCAGAAAUCAAGACAAAUCACGGCCCUUCCUGGAGUCCCACCCUUUCAUCAGCCAGAGAAGGCUGGAGCUCUGAGGAGAGGAGAGCUGUCCUAGAGCCUGGAGCCAGUUGGUGGCAACUCACCCAGUGCUCUUCUUGGCCGCUGACAGGACGUAGGAGUGCUCCCGGGGAGCUGUCCUCCUCAGAACACCGCUUGCAGCCUCUGACCUGGGGUGACACGGGAUGGGGGAGCAUCUGAUGGGUGCCAAGCUGGACAUGCUCUGCCAGCCUAGCCUGGGAUGGACUCGGGGUGACUUAGGGCCACCCCAGGGAGGCAAGGGGUGAGAGAAACCAGAUUUGCACCUGCUCCAAGGACUAUUCAAAGGAAAUGUAGAACCUGAAGGAAGGGCAGCCCAUGUUUAUGGAGCAUGUGGCAUGUGCCCGGCUCUGCGCCAGAUGCCAACAUCCUCGCAUUGGCUUAUUGCUCUUCUCAAUCCAGGAAAGUAGACGCUAGUAUCCUCUGUGAUUUACAGAUGAGGAAACUGAGUCCAAGAAGCUUUCAUUAUUUGCCCAAGA